ACGUCGGGAAGUGAAGGAGACAUUAGGAUGAUGUCACUUCAUUGAAGAAGUGGAACACACCAGGAUGGUGUUGCAAGGAAGGCUUCUGGAUGAAGCAAGGAUCACUCAGGAAGAGUAAGGGACACCUCCAGGACGGAGAAUGAGAGCCGAAUCAGGAACAUUCGGUGGGUCUGGAAGACCAAAGGAUUAUGCAUCAGGACAAUGCCGGAACACCUCAGGAUGAUGGUAGCAGGACGCGAGUACGACGGAUUGUAGGUCAGGAGACCGCAGGACAUAGUUGUCACGGACGAGCAGGGAGCACCAAAAGUAGCCGGAUUAGCUGCGAAACGAACCGGGAGCACUGUUUAUACAGUGCUCCCUUUUUUUAUG
rnacentral:other from 1 species